CACUUCCAGGGACCUAGGGGCAGCCACAGCUUCUCUGGACAACAAGUUUACCCUCCCCAAAAGGCUGGAAAAGAGUGAGGAGAAGGGUUGGAAGCCCCCUUUGACUGAGGUUGAAAGCAUUAAGGUUUUGUUUGUCCAAACCAUUUAACCCACAUAUUUCAGCAGUGUGUGGCCAGGAUGCCUCCAGCCAUCCACACCUUUGAAAUCCACUAAGUCUCUAACUCGGUGCAGACACCUGGCAGCUCCUGAAAUAUGUAUGGGAGAGGGGAAAAGACAAAGGGAGUCCUGUUAGAGCUGCAUUUUACAUCAGGUUGCACCAAACCCCUGGAUUUCUCUUUCCUUGAACUUGAAGCUGGCAAUAAUUGAAGCCCAGAUUUGGCAGCUGCUGUUCUGACAUGAUAUUGCUGCCGGGUGUUAUGAAAACCACUAGAGCCAGAAACCAGUGCAAUAUUCUGUGCUUGGAGUUUGAGCUUUCAAACAUAUGAAGCAUCAAUCUCUCGCUAGCGGCUCCUGAGCUAUCAGUUCCUACAAUCAGGUGGAAAAGAGUCUUUCAAAAGUGCUUAGUUACUGGAACAGUACAAAUGCUUUCUGGACCAGUAAAUGCUUCCUCGUAUCGGUCCCAGUCCAUGAUUAGGAUGAUAAAAAUCUGGUCCCUGAGAAAAUGCACUGCCUGGAUGCUCCUAUUGCUGAAAAUGUCAGAAUAACCAGGAGGAUGAGGAAGGAUGCAGGGCCCUGGGAUCAGUUAUCUCACCCUACGGGGCUGCUUCCAGCUGUGUUCUUGCUCUUAUUUUUCUUUUUGUGGCAGAUGAGUGAUUUUCCCUCUUGAUCUUUUAAUAUGAAGUCUUUGCUCUUGAAUCUCUUAAUAGGCUGAUCCAAUCAUCCUCACCCCAUUGAUUAAUUUUUAAGGUUUAGGGUGAUUCAAGAUAUACCUGAAAUUUUUAGAGACAUGGAUGAUCUUUGGGGCAGGGGGUCAGACAUACACUUGGGUCUACCUAGAACAUGUAGAAAGUUUAUUAUUCCUUGUUUGAUAUUGCCAGGAUUAUAAUUGAACUAUUUUAAUUAAUUGAAUGAACCUGAUCCAUGUGUCUGAGUGCAAAGACAGCGUUGGUGUGGCUUGAGCUCUGUCUUCCAGGCUUCCAAAUCCAGAAUCCAGCCUUACAUUGGGUAAUCACUUCUACAAGCAUCACAUUUAGCUAUUUAAGCUCAUUUCAAAUCUUGGUUUGUGAUAUUGCCACUGAAACUGCCAGUUAUUCUUUGCAGUUGCUGUGACUUUAUCAGUUAUAAUGGGAAUUGUCAGUUAUAAUGGGAAUUGUGGGCUUGAGCCCCCUAGGAUGAUGAUUUGAGUGCUGAGGAUUGUUGCUAUUUUAACAAGAGUUUCAUGGAGCUUGUGCUUUUGAGCAUCAGACGCUGGGUGAAAGCAAUAUUUUAUUUAUUUCCUUGCAUAAUUUUGGGUUCAAGGGGCCAAUAAGCCUGGAACUUUUUGCUUUUUAAAGUUUUGUGGCUGGUGAGCGAUGGUGUGGGGCCAGAUCCAGUGGAAGGAGCAAAAACACUCUACCAUGGACCCAUUUCCUACCAGCAAUUUGUUUGAUUGUCACAACCCUGUCCCUAAAACAAUUGUGGGGGUUAAAUUUCCCCGUGUGACGUCACAGUGCCUCAGCUUCAUUUAUCUUGGAAGGAUGUAAAAGGUGGGGAUGUUUUCAAUUGAAACCAUCUCCAUUCUCAGCCCAUUUUGCAGGAGCCGUUUUACUGGUGAUGUGACAUGAUAUCAAUAACAAUGAGGUUUCUCGCUGCCUGCUCUCGUUGUUUAUGGAAAGGAGUUUCAGAAAACAUAUUAUUAUAGAGAAUAAUGGAUGGGCUGUAGGGAGACAAGGAAAUAAUUGCAUUGAGGGGGCUUGAAAACAUCAUAAAGCCAAGAAUGGAGUUUGGUUGGACUCUCAUGUCACAGGGUCCCAAGGAGUAAACUAAUUCUCCAUAAAUCUGUGCAGCCCAUUUAGACUUACGGGAUUUCUUUUCUUUCCUUCUCUACUAGAUUUUUUCUCCCCUUUUUUCUUUUGAAGAAACACCACAGAGGAGAUGGAAGUGAAAAAAAGCCACCCAAUCCCCAAUUAUGAUGAUUAAUUAUCCGUUUGUAUUUUGUUAGCACCUAUAGAUUCUCUGUCAGGGGCCUGAGAGUCAUCCAAGCACAGAGUAGAAAAACACACAGCCUUUUUCUAAGGAGCUUUCUUGGAGCUUUUUUAAAAAAGGAAUGAAUGAA